AAAAAUUACUUAAAAUACUGGUCCAAUAUUUUGAUGUGUGUUAUUGACAAUUUAACCUUUAUACAGUUUGCCUCAACAUGUAAGUCCCUUUAUAAGACAGAUUCUACAAAUCACCAAACUACAACAAAAUCUACAUUUCCUCAUUAACAUAUACUAAUACUACAACAAUUUACAAAGUUCAACUCGUCUUGAAGGAGCGUAUUUCGUAUUUUCCUUCUCAUAAGUAUGUGUAUAUGUAGGGCCAAAGUGUAUUGGCUAGUCGAUGAUUGAUGAGCAGAAUAUCAGAAAAUU
rnacentral:misc_RNA from 1 species